AGCGAACGCUGGCGGCAGGCCUAACACAUGCAAGUCGAACGAACUCUUCGGAGUUAGUGGCGGACGGGUGAGUAACACGUGGGAACGUGCCUUUAGGUUCGGAAUAACUCAGGGAAACUUGUGCUAAUACCGAAUGUGCCCUUCGGGGGAAAGAUUUAUCGCCUUUAGAGCGGCCCGCGUCUGAUUAGCUAGUUGGUGAGGUAAAGGCUCACCAAGGCGACGAUCAGUAGCUGGUCUGAGAGGAUGAUCAGCCACAUUGGGACUGAGACACGCCCCAAACUCCUACGGGAGGCAGCAGUGGGGAAUCUUGCGCAAUGGGCGAAAGCCUGACGCAGCCAUGCCGCGUGAAUGAUGAAGGUCUUAGGAUUGUAAAAUUCUUUCACCGGGGACGAUAAUGACGGUACCCGGAGAAGAAGCCCCGGCUAACUUCGUG
rnacentral:rRNA from 1 species